rnacentral:rRNA from 1 species
UACGUAGGGACCAAGCGUUGUCCGGAAUUAUUGGGCGUAAAGAGCUUGUAGGCGGUUUGUCGCGUCUGCUGUGAAAUUUCGGGGCUCAACCCCGAACUUGCAGUGGGUACGGGCAGACUAGAGUGUGGUAGGGGAGACUGGAAUUCCUGGUGUAGCGGUGAAAUGCGCAGAUAUCAGGAGGAACACCGAUGGCGAAGGCAGGUCUCUGGGCCACUACUGACGCUGAGAAGCGAAAGCAUGGGGAGCGAACAGG